rnacentral:rRNA from 1 species
AGAUUAAGUUAUUAAGGGCGCACGGUGGAUGCCUUGGCACUAGAAGCCGAUGAAGGACGUUACUAACGACGAUAUGCUUUGGGGAGCUGUAAGUAAGCUUUGAUCCAGAGAUUUCCGAAUGGGGAAACCCAGCAUGAGUUAUGUCAUGUUAUCGAUAUGUGAAUACAUAGCAUAUCAGAAGGCACACCCGGAGAACUGAAACAUCUUAGUACCCGGAGGAAGAGAAAGAAAAUUCGAUUCCCUUAGUAGCGGCGAGCGAAACGGGAAGAGCCCAAACCAACAAGCUUGCUUGUUGGGGUUGUAGGACACUCUAUACGGAGUUACAAAGGACGACAUUAGACGAAUCAUCUGGAAAGAUGAAUCAAAGAAGGUAAUAAUCCUGUAGUCGAAAAUGUUGUCUCUCUUGAGUGGAUCCUGAGUACGACGGAGCACGUGAAAUUCCGUCGGAAUCUGGGAGGACCAUCUCCUAAGGCUAAAUACUCUCUAGUGACCGAUAGUGAACCAGUACCGUGAGGGAAAGGUGAAAAGCACCCCGGAAGGGGAGUGAAAUAGAACCUGAAACCGUGUGCUUACAAGUAGUCAGAGCCCGUUAAUGGGUGAUGGCGUGCCUUUUGUAGAAUGAACCGGCGAGUUACGAUUUGAUGCAAGGUUAAGCAGUAAAUGUGGAGCCGUAGCGAAAGCGAGUCUGAAUAGGGCGUUUAGUAUUUGGUCGUAGACCCGAAACCAGGUGAUCUACCCUUGGUC